UGCAGUCGAGCGAAUGGAUUAAGAGCUUGCUCUUAUGAAGUUAGCGGCGGACGGGUGAGUAACACGUGGGUAACCUGCCCAUAAGACUGGGAUAACUCCGGGAAACCGGGGCUAAUACCGGAUAACAUUUUGAACCGCAUGGUUCGAAAUUGAAAGGCGGCUUCGGCUGUCACUUAUGGAUGGACCCGCGUCGCAUUAGCUAGUUGGUGAGGUAACGGCUCACCAAGGCAACGAUGCGUAGCCGACCUGAGAGGGUGAUCGGCCACACUGGGACUGAGACACGGCCCAGACUCCUACGGGAGGCAGCAGUAGGGAAUCUUCCGCAAUGGACGAAAGUCUGACGGAGCAACGCCGCGUGAGUGAUGAAGGCUUUCGGGUCGUAAAACUCUGUUGUUAGGGAAGAACAAGUGCUAGUUGAAUAAGCUGGCACCUUGACGGUACCUAACCAGAAAGCCACGGCUAACUACGUGCCAGCAGCCGCGGUAAUACGUAGGUGGCAAGCGUUAUCCGGAAUUAUUGGGCGUAAAGCGCGCGCAGGUGGUUUCUUAAGUCUGAUGUGAAAGCCCACGGCUCAACCGUGGAGGGUCAUUGGAAACUGGGAGACUUGAGUGCAGAAGAGGAAAGUGGAAUUCCAUGUGUAGCGGUGAAAUGCGUAGAGAUAUGGAGGAACACCAGUGGCGAAGGCGACUUUCUGGUCUGUAACUGACACUGAGGCGCGAAAGCGUGGGGAGCAAAC
rnacentral:rRNA from 1 species